UGCUAGAUCGAGUGAGUGUGGUC
rnacentral:siRNA from 1 species